UGAACUGGGGAGGACAGAGGGAGGGUCAGGCUCACACCCGAGCUUGGUGCAGGUCGCAGGGAAACGCUCUUGAGCCUGACCAUCUAUUUUGGUAACCUUCCUCGUCUCUGUCUUCAAAGAAUACUUUUUAGGGAAAUAGAUAUAUGUCUAUCUUACUUAACUAUAAAUCCAGAUAAUCUAUCUGGACAGAUGACCACAAGAACCCCUAUCUAAUGGGGUUCAGACUACACUACCCCAAAAUAGGGCACCUUGGCACACUGAAUAUUUUAAGGAAAAAACAUUCCUUCCCAAAGGAAUUUGAGAAAUGACAGCUGCAGGAGGGACCGUCUGACCUCUCCCCACCCCUGAAGUGGGUCACAGGACCCUCCUGUGAGAGGCCCCCUCGUCUCCAAAGACAGAGGGAGCCGGGAGUAGGCUGAGCACACACAGGCCCUGCCGUGGUUCCCACCCACCACCCUCAGCUCACUCCCCUUGCACGCUUCCCCACGGCCUCCACGUCCUCAGUCCAGCCUCGCAUAGAAAGCGCUCAGGCCUCACUGUCUCUUCAGGUCUCCACUGCCUUAGGAAGGCUUCCAUAUCAAAUGGACUUAUUCAGUAAAUCUGUGUAAUUUUCUUUUGUUAAGCUUUUUGUCUAAUUUACAGGGCUCCAGCUAAAGAAUGGAGGCGGCUAGGGGAAAAGGGUAUAUUGUUUCCCUCCCCUGCUGUUUUCUUGGUUGUGAGCUUUGACCAUUAGCAGGAACACAUUUGAAAGUAAAAGUUGAGAGAAAAAUUUGAAUUUUGCAGGAUCAGCUCUGUCCCACGGAAACGUACUGUGAGCUACAUAUGUAAUUUUAAAAUUUCUGGCAGUCACAUUAAGUUUUUUAAAAGGCGAAAUUAAUUUUAAUAUUGUAUUUGACCCAACAUAUCCAAAAUAUUAUCACUUCAACGUUCAUUAAUUGAAUACAGUAUUUUGGUUUUCUGGUAUUUUUGUUUGGUUUGGUGGAGACAGCAUCUUGCUCUGUCACCCAGAAUGGAGUGCGUGGGGCCAUCAGUGCUUCCUCACCAUCGGCCUCCCAGGUUCAAGCCAUCCUACCCUAUAAAGGUCUGAGUCAUUGCAGAGCGGUCACCGGUGUCAUCUGAGGCUCGGAGAGGUAGCUCAUUCAGGGCCACACCAGCAGCUCCUUUUCCGGAAGCGUGAAGACGAAUGUAAAGCGAAGGAGAGUAAGGUGUGUGAAAGGCUGUGCCAAUGGCGACUGUCAGCCACGCUGUCUGCCCUCUUGCUUGUCCCUUCAAGGGCAGAGCUGUGGCUCACCCAGAGAUGCCAUCUCCCAUUCCCCCAAGCCCAGGUGGGUCCAGGUGAAAUAGUUCUUCCAGAUGGACGUGGCUCGUGUCUCUUCUGGGUGUUCUCCAGGCCCGGGGGGUGGCAGAUGAAGGGCAGAGGGAGACAGUUCCCGAGCCCCACAGGCCGGCAUGUUGCCUGCAAGUCAGGACACCUGAACUGUCCUGAGAUGGAAGCUCCGGCUUUCAGUCACUGAAAUUCGAGGGUUCUUUGUCCAGCAGUUAGAAGUGCCCUGAUUCAGGAGUUACAUCUGCUUCAUGGAAUCAGGCUUGAAGCCCAAAGAAGGAUGAAAUGAAGAGGGCCCAUGGGGAUCUCACACAUUUAGAUGUGUGAUGGGGAAAAUGCAUUUUGGAUGGUCCAUGAUUGUCCAGGUUUCAAAUAUUCUAGUCUACCGGAGACCUCACGUUCUUUUUCUUUUUUUUAUUUAACGUGGAGCAACCUGGCAGAAGGUCACCUGGCAGAAGGUCACCUGGCAGAACGUCAUGUGUAUUUAAGUCCCCAGACUUCGGAAGGUGCCUUUGAGGACAUGGAGUUCUCUUCCAGUUCUCUCCCUUCUGCAAAAAGAUCGUGAGACAGCGCGGGGUGGAGUGCUGUGGAGACUACGAGCUGCCUUUGUCCCUGGGAUGUUGGAAGAAUGAGUAUUGGCUUUAAGGAUGAGAGAUCCUUUUGAGUAAAGAACAUUCUGUGAACACAGCGGGCGGCCCACAAGGGUUGGGGUUUGAAUGAAGGGGGUGGCUGAGGAUCUUCCAGGCACCUGUGUUUUGGGAUUAGCCGUACUUGGAAGCCCGGUGGAAGCUGCUUUUCUAUUUAUGAGUCAAAUUCUCUUUCACUCUGAAUGUAAUUAUAAUUGCCAAGCAGCUGUAUCUUAAUUUAGGGUCUUCAAUUGGUAAUGUUUCCUAAGGCUUUAAUUUUAGUUUUCUUUGUUCCUUGGCCUUUCAAAUAUCUAAUAAUAUCUAAAUAAAUUAUUGAAAGUAGAAGAGUUCUCUAUAUGUUGUAAAAGGAAAAAUUACUUGGAAAUAUAUACAGUUACCUCCAAUUGAUGCUUUGUAAUUCAGGUUUUCUGUAAAUUGUUUUUAAGUGUGAGAUACUUUCCACAUAUGCCUGAAAAGCAAGAUCUUUUCUUCCUUCAAAAUUAUACCUCAGAGAAAGGGUCACAUUCUAUCCAGACCUUGCGAAGUGUUUCAAGUUGUGCGGCAUGUUCUGAGAUGAGUUUUGAACAUAAAAAUACUAUUUGGAAUGAUUGAUAAAUUGAGUGAAAUGAUCAAUAUGAUCUGGGUGUUUAUUCUCAAAGUGGGGCCCAGACCCGCAGCCUCAGCUCCUGGGAAUCUGAGAGAAAAGCAGAGCUUCAGGCUUUGCCCCAGGCCUGCAGAGGGCAGUCUGGGUAGGGGGUGGGGUAAGCCCUGUAAUCUGUGUUUUCCAAGCCCUCCAGGUGAUUCUGAGGCCCAUUCAGGUUGAAGAACCAGGGUCACAGAAGUUACCGAUCACAUUUUUUAAAUAUGCAAAGUUAUUUAACACAGCAUUAUUGAUCAUUCCUGAGGUGUCACCUCCCAACUCCAAGCAUGGGCAUCGCUGUGAGUGAGCUUUCAGAAGCCACUUGAGGAACACAGAUGCCUGGAGGAAUCCCAGCUGUCCUGAUGUUACAUGAAUGAGUUACUUGCAGCUCAAGCCCCCUGCAGGAAGGGUGCCCCGCAGCAGCCGGGAACCACCCGAGAGGCCUCCACAUGCACCUGGACAGGCGCGCGGGCUGGGUGCUCACACCUGGGCCCCAGAGGUGCUGGUCAGCACCCCCUUUACAAUGAAGGCUCGCAAAGUACACAACUCCAAGUGCCGGUCCAUGAAAGCAGGUCACACAGACUUUUAAUACAGAUCCGCACGGUGAAUGACAACAAUUUCUAAAGGGGCUGGGGUGAAAAGAGUUGGGGAAGUGCUGAGCUGCCAUGGAACAGGCACUGUGCUAGCCUGAUGGUCUGGAGGACAAACACUGGUUCCUUUAACAAAGAGCUCCCGUGUAGCAAGAAAAGCCCCGCUGACGAUGGAAUGACGAUGGAAUGCGAUGGAAUGCGUGCUGCUGUGGCACCGGACUGGGGAGACGGAGGAGGGAGGGAGGGAGGGAGGAAUCGCCGGGCUUCUUGGGAAGUCAGCCCUGGGCCGACGCAGCCGGUGGGACAGGGACCUGGGAAGGAAGGAGUGAGGACACAGGCAGAGGGACAAUGCAGGGGGCAAGACCCACAAGGGCAAGUCACUGGAGCCCAGCCCCACCCACCUCCCUCCACAGCCUCUGUCCUCUGGGAACGCUCUCCCAGGUCACUCCCCACAGGCCACCCUCCUUCCCUCUUGUUCCUUCCUUUCCUGUGUGAAUCUUAUGGUCUGGCCAAACUUGUUGACUCAGUUCAGUGAAAUCACUGUUAGAUAUUUCUGUUUCCUUGACUGCACAUGAAUGGCCAGUGGGAUCCAUGUGUCCAGGUACCUGGGCUGGAGGUGACCUCUCUCCUCUGAGCUCUCACAGGGCACUGCUGCUCCUUUCAUUCCACACACGUCAGCUGCCCAGUGUUAGCUUUUUCCUGUGUGCAUUGCUUAUCUCCUUGAAUGAGCGCCUUAGAUUCAGGGAAGCACCAAUUCAUCUUUGUAAGGCCCUUAGCAUUCAAGAAAUUUUGACUUUAGGUUUGCAACAGAUGAGAAAUGAGAGCAAAUAUAUGCCUCAAAUGUACAUAUUCCAAAGGAGUGCAGCAGAAAUCCUUUUUGGGGGAACUGAGAAAAAACACUGCCUACCUAAAAUGAUUUUCAAGUUACUUCCAGUGUCAAAAUUCAGCAAAACAUCAACUUUAGCUUAUAAUCAUAACAUUGACAUUAGCUUAUUAAUAAAUAUACUGAAAGUCCUUUCAUAGGCAUUUAUGACAAAUUUAAAAAGUGAACUGGGAUGAAUAUUCUCAUAGCUUUGAGUAUUCAAAAGUUAGCAAGGGUGGUACUUGUAAAAGUCAACAUUUAUUAACUGCUGUAGUUAAUUCAAAGUAAUAUUCUGUGGUUAGCUACUGUUAAAUAUUUUUAAUUGUCAAAUUUCUUCUGUGUGCAACGUUCUUUAUUCCUUUAUUUACUCCCUCACUUUUCAUGUGGGUUAGAUGACCUUGGUGACUGAAAGGGCAAGAACUGUCAAAAACAAAUGACAACUGAUUUCUAGGUUUUAAACAAAUGGUUGAUAUUAUGAAUUCUACAGAAACAGACAAAAUACCUGAACAUUUUCAAUUUUACAAAGAAUGAAUGUCUUAAUGUAUUUUUCCUUUUAAGCCUCACAUUUCAGAUACUUGAUAAACUAAGAGUUUGAGUUACUGAUAUGUAAAACAACUACUGGUCAUUUACAAGUAACAAGCUGGCUAAACAUUUUUUAAAAAUAUACUAACAAAAGCACCCAGGUGAACUCUGUCUACCCAGGAGGGCUUUUUAAGUGAUCCAUCUUGAUGUCAGCAAAUUGCUUACUAAUGUGUUGACUUAUGGCUGCCCUCAAAAGCAAAAUGAAAAGCCUGGAAUUUACAGCAUAUCAAUGAAUCAGUUGAUAAGCUUUUACUGGUUUAAUAUCCUUCCAGUCCUGCUGCUUGGAGCCACUUCAAGUUAGCAACAGAAUGUUUGCCAUCUCUAUGUGAUAAAGGAAGUCAAAGGACUAA